rnacentral:rRNA from 1 species
AUUGAACGCUGGCGGCAGGCCUAACACAUGCAAGUCGAGCGGCAGCGGGAAAGUAGCUUGCUACUUUUGCCGGCGAGCGGCGGACGGGUGAGUAAUGCCUGGGGAUCUGCCCAGUCGAGGGGGAUAACAGUUGGAAACGACUGCUAAUACCGCAUACGCCCUACGGGGGAAAGGGGGGGACCUUCGGGCCUUUCGCGAUUGGAUGAACCCAGGUGGGAUUAGCUAGUUGGUGGGGUAAUGGCUCACCAAGGCGACGAUCCCUAGCUGGUUUGAGAGGAUGCUCAGCCACACUGGAACUGAGACACGGUCCAGACUCCUACGGGAGGCAGCAGUGGGGAAUAUUGCACAAUGGGGGAAACCCUGAUGCAGCCAUGCCGCGUGUGUGAAGAAGGCCUUCGGGUUGUAAAGCACUUUCAGCGAGGAGGAAAGGUUGUUGGCUAAUACCCAGCAACUGUGACGUUACUCGCAGAAGAAGCACCGGCUAACUCCGUGCCAGCCGCCGCGGUAA